UACGAAGGGGGCAAGCGUUGCUCGGAAUCACUGGGCGUAAAGCGCACGUAGGCGGGUCGUUAAGUCAGAGGUGAAAGCCUGGAGCUCAACUCCAGAACUGCCUUUGAUACUGGCGACCUCGAGUUCGAGAGAGGUUGGUGGAACUCCGAGUGUAGAGGUGAAAUUCGUAGAUAUUCGGAAGAACACCAGUGGCGAAGGCGGCCAACUGGCUCGAUACUGACGCUGAGGUGCGAAAGCGUGGGGAGCAAACAGGAUUAGAAACCCUAGUAGUCC
rnacentral:rRNA from 1 species